rnacentral:rRNA from 1 species
UGACGACGCAACGCCGCGUGGAGGAUGAAGGUCUUCGGAUUGUAAACUCCUGUUGCCCGGGACGAAAAGCUCCGACCCAACACGUCGGAGUCUGACGGUACCGGGUGAGGAAGCCCCGGCUAACUCUGUGCCAGCAGCCGCGGUAAUACAGAGGGGGCAAGCGUUGUUCGGAAUUACUGGGCGUAAAGGGCGCGUAGGUGGCCUGUUAAGUCGAACGUGAAAUCCCUGGGCUCAACCCAGGAACUGCGUCCGAGACUGAUAGGCUUGAAUCCGGGAGAGGGAUGUGGAAUUCCAGGUGUAGCGGUGAAAUGCGUAGAUAUCUGGAGGAACACCGGUGGCGAAGGCGGCAUCCUGGACCGGUAUUGACGCUGAGGCGCGAAAGCCAGGGGAGCAAACGGGAUUAGAUACCCCGGUAGUCCUGGCCCUAAACGAUGAAUGCUUGGUGUGGCGGGUAUCGAUCCCUGCCGUGCCGAAGCUAACGCAUUAAGCAUUCCGCCUGGGGAGUACGGUCGCAAGGCUG